GCAGGGUCGUGACGUCACGACGCUCCGUGACCCAGGUCGGGGGUCGGGCGGCGAGGUCGCCGCGGGGUCGGGGGUCGCGGGCACUUCCCCGGCCUCGAGGCUGGGCUGCCCGAGGAGCCCCCACAGACUUGCCUGGGGGUCUCCGCCGGCGCCGCACCGCGGAGCGGAUGUGACUGAGAUCGAUGAGGAGCCCGCCCCCGCUUAGGGGCUGGAGAGCGGCCGGUCCUAGCGCCCGCCGCAGCGGCAGGCCGGGCCGAGGCCGCAGCGGCGGCAGUGGCGGCAGCGGCAGCUCGAGGCCGCAGCGGCCUAGCUUUCUGGAGCGCCUCCGGGACGCUGAUGGCAGCACGCGGCCUGGCCCAGGCUUUAGCUACCGUGUCCCUCAGUGUGAGCCUGUGUUGCGUGACCGUCAGGGCCCUGGGGGGGCCGCCCUACAGUAGUUGCUUUUCAUCACGUUCAUUCCAUCUAAGCUCAGUCAUUAUGUCAGGUUCAAAUGGUGCUGAUGAAAAUUCUCACAACAAGGCUCGGACAUCACCUUAUCCAGGUUCAAAAGUUGAACGUAGUCAAGUACCCAAUGAAAAGGUGGGCUGGCUCGUUGAGUGGCAGGAGUAUAAUCCUGUGGAAUAUACUGCAGUCUCUGUCUUGGCUGGACCCAUGUGGGCAGAUCCACAGAUCAGUGAAAGAAAUUUUUCUCCUAAGUUUAAUGAAAAGGAUGGACAUGUUGAACGAAAGAGCCAGAAUGGCUUGUAUGAGAUUGAAAAUGGUCGACCUAGAAAUCCUGCAGGUCGGACAGGACUGGUAGGCCGGGGACUUUUGGGACGUUGGGGCCCAAACCAUGCUGCAGAUCCCAUUAUUACUAGGUGGAAAAGGGACAGCAGUGGAAAUAAAGUCAUUCACCCUCAUUCUGGGAAAAAUAUCUUACAAUUUGUAGCAAUCAAAAGGAAAGACUGUGGAGAAUGGGCAAUCCCAGGGGGGAUGGUGGAUCCAGGAGAGAAAAUCAGUGCUACCUUGAAACGAGAGUUUGGUGAAGAAGCUAUGAACUCCUUACAGAAAUCCACUGCUGAGAAGCAGGAGAUGGAGGAGCAAUUACAUAAACUCUUCAGUCAAGAACAUUUAGUGGUUUAUAAAGGAUAUGUGGAUGAUCCUCGAAAUACUGAUAAUGCGUGGAUGGAGACGGAAGCUGUGAAUUAUCAUGAUGAAACAGUUUCCUGCAGGCUUCUAAUACAAAGAGAACAAUGAAAGAAGAUCCAGAUGUCCAAGGCAAGGCACUGCUUCUCCCUCACCCAAACUGGAUAGAAAGGAUUGAUAAGGAAGAUGCUGUGGAUAUAGUUUACCUAGACUAGCAAAGCUUUGAUUCUCCAGGUAUAUGUCUAGCCCCAACUGUCUUCUGGGCUCCAUCCAAUCUUAUAGCAUUCUCUAUGUUGGACAUUUUAAACUUGAUGUCCUAUAGAAAUCUAAACAGGUCUGAAAUAGAACUCCCAAAAGUACUUGACAAGCUAGAACUUUGGUUGAAUCUAUUAUUGUUCAGUCAUGUUUGAGUCUUUGUGACCUCAUUUGAGUUUUUCUUGGCAAAGAUACUGAAGUGGUUUGCCAUUUCCUUCUCAUUGUACAGAUGAGGAAACUGAGAAAAUAGUUAAAUGACUUUCCCAGGGUCACACAGCUAUAAGUGACUGAGUUCAGAUCUGAACUCAAAUCUUGACUUUAGGCCUGGUGUUCAACCAUUUAGCUGCCAGGUUGAGUCUAAGAUGAAGUUCAGUUGCGAUACGGGUAAAUUCUUUUACUUAGUUACCCCAAAUACCACAAAUUUAAGUUAGGUGGGUAAGUUAAUGAAUGGAUAAAUACUGGUUCUGAAAAAAAGAUCCAGAGAUUUUAGGGGGCUGAGUCAGUGAUAUGAUGUGGCAGCCAAAAAUUCUCAUGUGAUCUUUCUCUCCUCUGAUACUGCCACCACCUGUGUAUAGACCAUCAUCACCUCAUACCCAGACCCUCUGGCGGGUCUGCCAGCCUCAAGUGUCCUCCACUCCAGUCCAACAUCGAUUCAGCCUCUAAGUGAUUUUCCUAAAUAUAAGUCCAAAUGUGUCACCCCCCCCCCCCCCAAUGUGGUAAACUCUGGUGGCUCCCUUUUGCCUCUAGGAUCAAAUACAAAGUCUUCUAUCUGGUUGUACAGAGCACUUCCUGAGCUAGGCCGUUCUUACUUUCCCAGGCUUCUUAUCCCAUACUGUCACCGUAUGUAUACUCUGUCAUGUGUUGGCACUGGCCUUGCUGUUUCACAGAUGAUACUCUAUCUCCCAACUCCAUACAUUUUCUCAGGCUCUCUUCCUUCUCAUCUCUACCUUCCAAUACCAACUAAAUUCCCAUUUUCAUAUAGGAAAUAAUUCUAGUGCCUUCCCUCUGUUAAUUGUUUAUUUAUUUUGUAUGGAGCUUGUUGGUACGUAUUUGCUUCUUGCUUUCUCCAUUGCAUUGUAAGCUCCUUGGGGGCAGGAACUAUCUUUUGCCCAUUUUUUUUUUGAAUCUCCAGAGUUUAGCACAUAGUAGAUACUUAAUAAAUAUUUAUUGACUCAGGGGUCUUUUUGGUGUCCAUCAUAGUGCUUAAUGUCAUGCCUGGCACAUACUCCUCAAUCCACUAAGCCAUGUUGCUUUUAUUCAAUGAUAAAGUAGUUACAAUUUAGUCUUGUUACUCAAACUUUCCCAAGACAUGGCAAGGAAAUGGACUUGUAUAAUAUAUAAGUUCAUACUAAAUUUAGAAAUGAUGGCAUCCCAGAUCUGUAAGGUUUUUUUUCCUUUUCCUGCUAAAAUAUGAGUUGUACUACUCUUAACUGAUUUGUCAUUUGGCAAUUCCUGUAUUUAAUCACUUAUUAAAGUUCCAGACAAAGUUAUUACAGUAGCAUUGUGGAUUGUAUAGACCAAAUUCCUGCCCUUCCCUGUCCAUUUGCCCAGAGCAAAAAUCAACUGGACCUGUGAGAAGUUUUCAGUGUUUCUUUAAAAUAGUCUCCAAUCAAGAUUACCUUUUGAUAAAUCAAUCAUACUAAAUCUGUCAUAUUUAGACAUGACUUCUGUAAAGGGUGAAUAUUAUGGUUGAGACUGAAAAAAAUCUAAAUUUAAAUGGUCACCAAGGGAAAUCCCAAAUAAUAAAAUACCCAAGUGAGCUGCCAAAUUUUUAUGGUGUUUUAAUUACAAUAGGAGGAAGAAAAUAUUAGAGGGAGAGAGAGAGAGAGAGAAGGAAAGAAGUUUAAUUCAGAACUACUCUGGCUCAGGCUGAGCCAAAGUGGGCAUUAAGGCCUUGGAGAGCCAAGGCAGGGAAAGGGAUCAGUCCUUAUCACUCACGUGACCAAUCUGAAGGAAAGUAGUCUCCAGGGCUCCUCCAAUCUCAAGCACCAGCCUCAAACUGAACUCUAGCCCUCCUCACAGGAAGUCCCGAGAACUCUAGAGGCUGUUCUCUACCUCACUUCCUGUGUCUCACAUGUGCCAAUGGUGGCUCAAACUUGACCUAGGACUGCCCAGAGGUCUGUCCUUUUUUUUUUGCACAUAUCUGUUGAAGACCAUAUUCUCAAAUAAUUAAAUCUUGAGUUUGCUGCAGCCCUUCCUAAUCUUGUUACACUGAGUAGGGUGGAGAAUGUAGUUUCCAAGACCUGAUUCUGUUAUUCCAAGUAUCACUAUUGUUAUUGAUCAGGAAAUAGCUAAAUCUGAUCUUCUAAAGAAUGGUCUGAAUAGGGUGGAGUAGUUUUGAAAUUAACAAUUCCUGGCUACUGUUUCCUCUAUUGAUAAUUAAAUAGAAGCUUGACAUAUGCUUAAACUAAUCUUUCCUAAUAUGUAAAUAUGGUAAGAGCACUCAAAGCUAUUUAUGUGGAUUAAUUACUCUAUAUAAAUGGCCAUGCUUACAGAGCAGAAAGGAAUGAAUUAUUUUUAAAGGUCUGAACCAAAAUAACCAACUUAUAGAAUAUUGAUCUCACUUUGACUUCACCAGUACUAUGGACUUUAGUAUCUAUAUUUUGUAUUCCUAAUAGUUUUGCUUGAAUGCAAAAGCUAUUGUUAUAUAAAAGGGCAGCUUAAUAUAUUGUUGCAUCAUCCUCUCCUCUCUAGAAGAGACUCUAACUAUACCUAUUAAGUUCUUUCUUCAAGGCACUUCUUGACUGGCCCACAUGGAGAUAUUACCUAUGUAGACAGUCUAUGGGAUAGUACUCCAUCCCAUUAUAAUAGUCACUUCCUUUAUAUCCUAAGUAUGGAGACUCAGACCAGAUAAGUUCUGAUGGAAAGUGAAAUGUGUGCUCUGAAACAUGUGCUAUUUCUACUGUGUUUUGAGACCCACAGGCAAUAUUUUCUAUUGAGAGAACCUCUAAAUUAUGAAAGAUCACCUGGUUCCACCACUUACUAACACUGCAUCCUUCUCUGUGGUCUGGUUUCCUUAUGUGCAAAAGGAGACACUUGUACUAGACUAUCUAGUUCAUUCUAGCUAAUAGCUGGUCACUGAUUUCUUGAAAUUUUUCUAUUUGUUCACCCCUUCCCCAUAUAAAGUUGACAUACCAGAGAAAUAAGCCUGCAACAAGGUUAUUAAUAGUUUUUACCUGGCAACAGGGUGUUGACCAAGCUUCCUGAGAUGCCAAAGCACAGGAUACAUCUACAAAUGGCAUAAAAAGAUCUCUUAGCAUAUUUCAGUCAAAUGAUCUCCAGCUAGAAGCCUCUUUUAAUCCAGGUAAAUAAAAAUGAAAAGAUCUUAUGAUCCUCUUCCUUUGGAAUAAUAACACAAACCUUACAACCAGGAUAGCCAAAAUAUUCAACACUUAGACCACACCACAGUGUCUUCCCAUGGGAUUGAAGUUCCCUUUGCCAUAAACAUUUAAAUGGAUGAAAUAAUCAAGUGAAGACCACUACCUCCAUGAGAUCUCAGCUAAAAGCUGAGAACAUUUAUAUGGGACACAGAGGCUAGAGAGCUGGCAGGAAGACCUACCUCUGAUGAAUAUGUGCUAUAUGACUCUGAAGUCUCUUCUCUUCCCCUCAGGGCACCAAGAAACUCUCUUACAUUAUAAUUUGAAGAGCCACUGUUAAACUGUAUUGUUGGAUGGAGUAUACAUAUUUGAAGUUCCCUAUAUCAAGGUCUGGUUAUAUAUUUGUUAUCGUUUUCCAUUCAUGUCAGAUUCUUUGGAACCCCAUUUUCUUGGCAAAGAUCCUGGAGCGGUUUGACAUUUUCCUUCUCCAGCUCAUUUUACAGAUGAGGGAACUAAAGCAAAUAGGAUUAAGUAACUUGCCCAGGGUUGCACAACUAUUAGGUGUCUGAGGUUAGAUUUGAACUCAGAAGAUCAGUCUUCCUGACCUCAGACUUGAUACUUUCUUGACUGCACCACCUCGCUGCCCAUACAUAUGCAAAUACAUGUAUACAUACAUAUACACACACAAAUAGAUAAUUCCCCAUAUGUGGAUUUUAACUCUCAGUCUUAAUCUCUAGGAAAUAGUACUUUUUAUUUUAUUAUAUAAUCCAUUUGAUUUUUUAAUUAUUGAUUUUUAAAAUUAUUUAAUUCAUUAAUGUCUCUAGUAUUGGGAAUUUCAGCCUGGUUAUGGAGGCAUUGGGUUGAAGAUAGGCCUUUUGUAAACACUCAAAUCUUGUUAUGUAGAACAGUCCUGAAACAUACCAGGAAAAAGUCCAUAGCAUUUAUAUGUGAUACAUCAAUCAUGAAAAUUAUUAUUGAUCUAUUUACAUAAUACUCUUUAGCUUACAAAGUAUUCACAUAUAUAUUAACCCAUUUAAUUCUCACAAUGGACCUGUGAGAUAGUGUAAGUAUGAUUAUUCCAAGUUAAUAGAUAAAGAAGAUGAAGGUUUCCCAUGGCUAGUAGUAAAUGACAGCAUUGGACCCAGGUCUGAAAUCUGAUGUAGGGCUCUUUGCAUUUUCCUGCACUCUCUUACUGGUCCCCCCUCAGGGUGUGCUUGGGGUGGUGCUGAGUGUUUUGUGCACCAAGCUCCAUGGUAAGAAUUUUGAUGAAGGCUGGUGAUGAGUGGAAGGUAAGCUGGAGCCAGAAAGUAAUUUGGCACUAGAGGUCCUAUCUUUGAAUAGCAGCUUUUCCCCCUGCCACUGGAUGACCAGUCACUUCAUUUUAUCUAGUCCUCUUUUUCCUCAUCUAUAAGAUGAGAUGGUUGAACUCAUGUGACUUCUGAGUUAUUUUUUCAGAUCUGUAUCCCAUGAUGGUGCGGAGAAAGGGGAAAAUGUAGAGAGAAAUGGAAUUCUUUUUCUUUCUUCAGGUUCUUUUCCUUUGCUUCUCCAUUAGAUAGCCAGAGUAUUCAGGAGCAAGGUCAUCGGAUUGAAUAAGAGUGUCCUUGAGCUUAAUCUCACAUCUGCAGAGGAGUCACUUCAAAGUUAAUAUAAGAAGGUAUAGGAAAAAACUAUUCUUAUUCAUAGUUCUUAUUUCCUUUAUGGUGUUAUCAGAUGGAAUAAGUUAGCAGGUUUGGAUGUUUUCAUUAUAGAAUUGGAAUUUUAGAGUUACAAGGGACUUCAGAUGUAUUCAUUGCUAAUAUACUACAUCCUGAUAGAAUAUAAUUUCUUGAGGAUAGGAACUGUCUCACUUGUUUUGUAUUCCCAGAACCUAGCACAACAGCUGGCACACAGGAGGUACUUAAAUGCUUGUCUGU